rnacentral:lncRNA from 1 species
GGGGGGGGGGGGGGGUGCAAACGGCCGGAUACCAUUCGAGGAAAAACGCUACUUUAUAAUAGAGAAACGCAUAGAGACCCAUUUGGGGGAUUUUGAUACGACUUAGUGUUCCCUAUAGUUGUAACUGUAUGCUAGGCUUGUUGUAUAGAGGCAGAUAUGGACUUAAACCUGUAAUUGUCGUGUCAAGAUUAGCAUGAUUGCUAGUUAGUAUAUGCAACUAUUUUAAUCCAAAACUCCACGUGUUUCAAGAUUUAGCUUCAUUUGUUUGACGCUACAUGUUAUAGCUGACAGCCAUAGACCUUUCACAAACAUUGUUCUGAGAAAAAAAAUAGAUCAGUUAUAUUUGCUAUCAGUUCUUGAGCUCAAUUCCGUAUUACAAAGAGCCGUAAUUUCGGAGAGAGAAAUCUUGUGAGAAAUAUCGUAUAGGUGGUGUGUUUGAUCCAAGAAAUAUUGUUUGAUUUCAUGGUUGACAAAUGAUUGUUUUGACAGAGGAGACCGUAUAUACUGAAGGUGAUUUUAAAUAGAAAUAUGUUGAACAGUGCUCCAUGUUCUGCACACUUCGUUAAAUAUGUCAACUUUUUAAAUAUAUCAUGUAUUAAACUUGUGCUUUUACUUUGCCAUGGUGCACAACCACGAGAUAAAGAAAGCGAGCUGUGGGGUUGAACCUGUUCCUUUCUUUCCGAACGAGAAAGCCUUGAAAAUUUCUUUCGAGACAGUACUCGUUCGUGCUUUUGGGAGGUUGGUUGUAUCGGGGUUUUGUUUUCUCGUUUUGUUUGUUGAUGUCUAGCACCGAAUUGGAAUUUAAUCUUUAUGCCGUGACAGAAGCUUCUGGCCGUGAAAGUGUAGGACUACAGUUUUUACAAGCUAUCAUAGAACUAGCCUGUGUGAAAGUGUAUCCUAGUUCUUUGAAUUAAGGAGACUGAAAGAUCUCUGAAAGCAGGCAACCAUGAACAGGGGUCAACUUAUACAAAUCCUCCCAUAUACAGUGUCAAAUCUCCCCACCGCCCCCCCUCCUAUAUAUCGACCACUGACGUUAAAUUUCCGGCACCGGGGCGCAUCCAGUGGUCAGGUGCCCGCGUAUGGCCGAUGGUGGGGGACUUUUGAUGUCUCGUCUUGAUCGAUACAUAGACUUACAGACGAUCUCUUGGAAAGCAAGCCUUUUAUAAACAUGCUAUAAGUGAGCAUCAUGAUUUCUGUUGACGCGUGAGUUUAAACUACGAAGGAAAUUUCUUGCACAACUGCAUGUAUGUUUUUUUCCUCCCAUUAAUUACUGAACUUGCUCACAGGUCAAGCUGCGAAAGCCGAGUUCAGAAAACGAAAAAUGAUCGUGACGCAGGACUUAGAGAAAGUCUAAUUAGAUACAUGCGUUUCCUUUUGAAAAUAAUAAAGUAUGUGGGUAACCUGGUUACUUGCAGUUAUUCGUAAAAUAUGUUAAACAAUUUAAAUGUUAAAGCGAAUACAGAUAAGCUUGACAUCAAGCGAGAGGUGUUUAACCAGUCUGGCCAAUAUAGGCGGCAAAGAGACCGUAGAAUCGUUUAGCUUUCAGUUUCAGAGAUUAUAAAGCGAAGAAUGCAUCACGCUAUUGUUGUGUUGUUUUUCCUUUGUUUCCACAUUUCGUUGAGUGCCGAAAUCUGCAAGCCUGACCUCCAGCCCUCGAGUAAAUGCAGUGAGUGGAAAGAAGGUGGAUACUGCACAGGGUCUUGGGAGAGUACCUAUUAUAUGAAAACAAAUUGCUACUCUACUUGUCGUGGUUGUCAAGGCCCCAACUACUGAGUCUCGUGAACACCGAACCAAGUCCAGUUGCAGCUGAUGGAAGUUUCGACAGUGUUUCGUGAAUACGGCUUCUAUCGUAUAGUUGUUACUCCUAAAGCUGAUGUCUUGAAAGACAGAGAUAUUUUACAAAGCUUCAAUCAUGGACAAAAGUCUUGAGACAAAUUUGCACUUUUAGCGCUUUUGCACACAGGCCAGACGCGAAUACAACUUCACCCGCCUAGCCCCACCCCCCACUCCACAUACAAUGUUGGAAACUAGUACCCGUAAUAUUUCUCCUUACUUUCAACAUUGUUUUGAGUGGGGAGGGGGGAAGGCGGGGGGGGGCAGCAACGCGUUUUAAAAGGAUAGCAAUGCUUUUUCAAACUUCAGUUGUAAAACACAGAUAAUUCGUUGCAUUACAUCAGUGUCCCAAAGAUUUUUGUCCAUGACUGUAAUUUACCAAUCCACUAAAUGCAGUCUUUAUGCCAGAGUUUGAAUAUAGUAAUAAAGAAACUUAAAAUUGUCGAAAGUUAAUGCUUUAAUACGUAACAGUAGUUUUGCCAGUGCACGGCUCAGAACGUGCAACAAGAUCACACAAUAAAAUUAUGAGUUCAAGCUCUACUGACUCA